rnacentral:rRNA from 1 species
CGCUGGCGGCGUGCUUAACACAUGCAAGUCGAGCGGUAAGGCCUUUCGGGGUACACGAGCGGCGAACGGGUGAGUAACACGUGGGUGAUCUGCCCUGCACUCUGGGAUAAGCUUGGGAAACUGGGUCUAAUACCGGAUAUGACCRYAUKSCGCAUGKUSUGUGGUGGAAAGAUUUAUCGGUGCAGGAUGGGCCCGCGGCCUAUCAGCUUGUUGGUGGGGUAAUGGCCUACCAAGGCGACGACGGGUAGCCGACCUGAGAGGGUGACCGGCCACACUGGGACUGAGACACGGCCCAGACUCCUACGGGAGGCAGCAGUGGGGAAUAUUGCACAAUGGGCGGAAGCCUGAUGCAGCGACGCCGCGUGAGGGAUGAAGGCCUUCGGGUUGUAAACCUCUUUCAGCAGGGACGAAGCGUGAGUGACGGUACCUGCAG